GAUGAACGCUAGCUACAGGCUUAACACAUGCAAGUCGCGGGGCAGCAUGGGGGUUGCUUUCAACCCCUGAUGGCGACCGGCGCACGGGUGAGUAACGCGUAUCCAACCUGCCCUUCACCACGGGAUAACCCGGCGAAAGUCGGACUAAUACCGUAUGUUGUCCAUUGACGGCAUCCGAUUUGGACGAAAGGCUUGGCGGCGAAAGGCUGGGGAUGCGUCCGAUUAGCUUGACGGCGGGGUAACGGCCCACCGUGGCUACGAUCGGUAGGGGUUCUGAGAGGAAGGUCCCCCACACUGGAACUGAGACACGGUCCAGACUGCUACGGGAGGCAGCAGUGAGGAAUAUUGGUCAAUGGGCGUAAGCCUGAACCAGCCAAGUAGCGUGCAGGAUGACGGCCCUAUGGGUUGUAAACUGCUUUUAUGCGGGGAUAAAGUGGCCCACGUGUGGGCUUUUGAAGGUACCGCAUGAAUAAGGACCGGCUAAUUCCGUG
rnacentral:rRNA from 1 species